GGAAAUUUAAGGUUUCAAGGUUCCAAGCUCAAUUGCUAAUGUCGUGUACGAGUCAUUGUCCGAGAAAGGAAAGGAGAAAGUGGACAAGGAGUGACUCGAGAGAAAUUCCGGUUAGUAUUACCAUAAUUCGAAUUUAAUUAUUAAUUGUUAAAAAUUUAAAUUAAUAUACAUGAUAAGAAAAUUGAGGUGAGUAUCAUGAUUGAAUCAAAUGAAAUAUAUAUAUAUAUAUAUAUACGUAUUGAUAUUGAAUUUAUUGAUAGUAAUUAUUGAAUUUUGAUUAAUAUGUUAGUAAAUAAAAAUAAGGAGAAUAUCGAUAUUUAAUUGAAUGAAUUAAAAAUAUGAAUUGAAUAAAAGUGAAUUAAAUUAUGAAUAAGUGUGAAUACGCGAAUUGAGUACUGAUUGAAAAGUGGUUUGAUUAGAAUCGAAGUAUGAUUUGUGAAAUAUGUAUU
rnacentral:lncRNA from 1 species